AACGUAGGACGCAAGCGUUAUCCGGAAUUACUGGGCGUAAAGCGCGCGCAGGCGGGUCAACAAGUCAUGCGUGAAAGCUCCUGGCUAAACUGGGAGAGGUCGGAUGAAACUGUUGGUCUUGAGUGUGGCAGAGGCGUGUGGAAUUCCGCGUGUAGUGGUGAAAUGCGUAGAGAUGCGGAGGAACACCAGAGGCGAAGGCGGCACGCUGGGCCACAACUGACGCUGAGGCGCGAAAGCAUGGGUAGCGAACGGGAUUAGAAACCCCCGUAGUCC
rnacentral:rRNA from 1 species